GAAAACUCCAAAGGACAAGAAAGCAACUUUACGGUCCAUGGGCUUGUAGAUAAGGUUAUUUCAGGUGUCUUGGACAUUCUAAAUUUUCAGAUUCCUCCAUUUGUUCGGAUAGAUCUUUUCAGAUCAUUCUAACUCAAAGCAUUGAGUAUAGGCAUGUAUCAGGAAUGUCUUCAAAAGCUCUACUAUACCAAACAACACGUUGUGAUUGAAGAUAUUGGGAAUCAGAUUUAGCAACUAUAAACCUACAAGGUGCAGUAGAUUGAAUUACUUAUUGACUAGAAUUGUUGAAUUGUAAUUUGUUACACUUUAGAUUUGUUUGUAUAUGUAUGGAUAUGAUAUUCUAGUUCA